rnacentral:rRNA from 3 species
GGGAAUCUUCCGCAAUGGACGAAAGUCUGAUGGAGCAACGCCGCGUGAACGAUGAAGGUCUUCGGGUCGUAAAGUUCUGUUGUCAGGGAAGAACAAGUACCAGAGUAAUAGGGGGGACCUUGGCGGUUCCUAGCCGAGAAAGCCCGGCUAAAUACGUUCCCGCCGCCGCGGUAAUUAGUAGGUGGCCAAGGUUGUCCGGAAUUUUUGGGGGUAAAAGCGCGGCCAGCGGUUUAUGUAAUUUGAUGGGAAAGCCCAGGAGUUCACCGUGGAGGGUCAUCGGAAACUGGGGAACUUGAGUGCAGAAGAGGAAAGCGGAAUUCCACGUGUAGCGGUGAAAUGCGUAGAGAUGUGGAGGAACACCAGUGGCGAAGGCGACUYUCUGGUCUGUAACUGACGCUGAGGCGCGAAAGCGUGGGGAGCGAACAGGAUAUAGAUACCCUGGUAGUCCACGCCGUAAACGAUGAGUGCUAAGUGUUGGAGGGUUUCCUCCCUUUAGUGCCGCAGCAAACGCAUUAAGCACUCCGCCUGGGGAGUACGGUCGCAAGACUGAAACUCAAAGGAAUUGACGGGGGCCCGCACAAGCGGUGGAGCAUGUGGUUUAAUUCGAAGCAACGCGAAGAACCUUACCAGGUCUUGACAUCCUUCU